GUUCUGUGUUGGUUGUUGCUCAGAGACAGGUUUUGUAAAGGAUUUUGUAGCUGGUCCUGCUAAGAGGGGAAGGCACCUUGGGAGUGUUUAGGCAGGAGGCCUGCGGGCAUGCAUAUACCUGUCGUAUGUACUCGAGUCUAUGCACACUUGCCCCUUUUCCCCAAAUUACCGUGUGAAGGAAGAAUAAAUUCCCUGUUAACGACUGUUACCAUGGCCACCAUGACCCUAUCACUGCUUCUCCCCGCUGUUCUGCUCGGAACACUUGACAGUGAUGCCAGACGCCCUGUGAGAUUGCUGGAGAUGUUGCGGGGGGCGUAACUUGAUUGGAGACUUCACACUGCAGUGUGACAACCAGGGACAAUACACCCCUCAGCAGUGGCUGGGCUCUGCAGUUUACCACACACACAUGGACAUAUGCUGGACAUGUAACAAUCUAUUAACAUUUCAUGUGUGAUUAUUGUAUUUCCAACUUUUAUUUUUUUUAAACAUUUCUGGUAAGUUUCUGUUGUGUGGACAGACGAUCCCUGGUACUGAGUCCACCAGACACUGCUCACAUUGUGAGAGGACAGGUUAUGAUCAUAGAUGCCAGGCACACCGGUUUGAGUGUGUCAAGAACUGCAACGCUGCUGGGUUUAUCACAACAGUUUCCCGUGGGUACCAAAGGACAUCCGUAGAACUUGACACAACUGUGGGAAGCAUUGGCGUCAACAUGGGCCAGCAUCCCUGCGGAACACUUUCCACACCUUGUAGAGUCCACGCCCCGAUGAAUUGAGGUUGUUCUGAAGACCAAAAAGGGGGUGCAACUCAAUAUUAGGAAGGUGUUCUUAAUGUUUUGUCUGUCAUUGUAUGCAUAUUUCUAUUUUUAAGAAAGCAAAAAUGGCAAAUAAUUGCAUCUUGUUAUAGUCACCAGUUAUUUUUUUUAAAAUGUGUCCCAUCACCCAUUUGCACAAAAUACUAGGCCUGCUUGCAAUGCAAUACUUCAACCAUAAGGAAUUGUGCAUACGCAUGGUCUAACGUUUGCAGAAAGCUAAGAACAUUCUCA
ensembl:lncRNA